AAGUAUGUAUUUAAAUAGAUAUAUAACAAGUACCUUUAUUGAAGAAACUACAGUGCUAAAGAGGGACAUUAUUGCAGUCAUUCAAAAGUUCAAUAUCCAAGUUAGCAAUUUGACUCAAGAUGUCCUUGGAAAGUCUAGUUCAACUGUUUAUGCCAUUGCAUUGUUAGCCUCUGGACAGAGCUCUGCAAUAACUGGUACAUACGCUGGGCAAUACAUCAUGCAGGGUUUUCUAAACAUGAAGAUGAAAAAUGGCUGAGGAAUCUCAUGACUCGAUCAAUCGCAAUCACUCCAAGUCUCAUAGUGUCCAUCAUCAGUGGUUCCUCAGGAGCCGGACGGCUCAUCAUAAUCUCAUCGAUGGUACUAUCAUUUGAGUUGCCAUUUGCACUCUUAUCUCUUCUCAAAUUCAGCAGCAGUCAAACAAAAAUGGGACCUUAUAAAAGUUCAAUAUAUAUCAUUGUGGUGUCAUGGAUUCUUGGUUUGCUUCGGGUAGCAAUCAACAUCUACUUCUUAAGCACCAGCU